UCCCUCUCAGGGUUGUUCCUGGAGUGUUUCCAGUACUCUACCAGUCUCAGCUACGGGAGGGUGAGUCAAGCAGAGGUAUACUCAUUCCAUUCCUAACUUGGGCAGUGGUUAGUGAGUGGAAGGCAAUCUGCUACAAGG